rnacentral:rRNA from 1 species
UACAGAGGAGCCAAGCGUUGUCCGGAUUGACUGGGCGUAAAGCGCACGCAGGCGGAUGCGCGCGUGGGGUGUGAAAUCUGGCCGCUUAACGGCCAGGCGCCAUCCCAUACGGCGCGUCUGGAGUGAUGCAGAGGUCGGUGGAAUUGCCGGUGUAGUGGUGGAAUGCGUAGAGAUCGGGAGGAACACCAGUGGCGAAAGCGGCUCUCUGGUCCAAAACUGACGCUGAGGGGCGAAAGCGUGGGGAGCGAACGGGAUUGAGAUACCC